CCUCUGUGGCCUCAUCUCCUAGCCCGCCCUCCCCGUGAGCUGUGGCCUGAUGUCAUGGGUCUGCCUAUGGUUGCAAGUGUGCUGUGCUUUUCUGGCUUCUGGGCCUUUGCUCACGCCAUUCUGCCUGCCAGGAGUGCUCUCCUUUCCUCACCUCCCACCUCUGUACCCCUCACAUCCCUGUUGAGGUAGAAGUCCAUCCUGGAAGCUUUCCUAGAGCCCCCAGGCUGGCCUUGAUGGUUCUGCUGCCACCACCCUGGCUCUCCUUCACAGCACCCACCUGCUGCACCGUCACUGUUUGUGGGGUCCCCUAUCCGUCUCACCAGCAGCCAGGCCCAGGGCAUCUCAGGGUGCAUGGUGGGAUAGGCUGAGCUGAACCUAAGUGGUCUGAGGGAAAUGAGCAGUGGAAAAGGGGAGGUGAGGCCAGUGGGCCCCAAGGCCCCAUCUGGUGGGUCAGACCAUAGUGGGAGCUUGGG
rnacentral:lncRNA from 1 species